rnacentral:rRNA from 1 species
AACACAUGCAAGUCGAGGGGCAGCAUGGUCUUAGCUUGCUAAGGCCGAUGGCGACCGGCGCACGGGUGAGUAACACGUAUCCAACCUGCCGUCUACUCUUGGACAGCCUUCUGAAAGGAAGAUUAAUACAAGAUGGCAUCAUGAGUCCGCAUGUUCACAUGAUUAAAGGUAUUCCGGUAGACGAUGGGGAUGCGUUCCAUUAGAUAGUAGGCGGGGUAACGGCCCACCUAGUCUUCGAUGGAUAGGGGUUCUGAGAGGAAGGUCCCCCACAUUGGAACUGAGACACGGUCCAAACUCCUACGGGAGGCAGCAGUGAGGAAUAUUGGUCAAUGGGCGAGAGCCUGAACCAGCCAAGUAGCGUGAAGGAUGACUGCCCUAUGGGUUGUAAACUUCUUUUAUAAAGGAAUAAAGUCGGGUAUGGAUACCCGUUUGCAUGUACUUUAUGAAUAAGGAUCGGCUAACUCCGUGCCAGCAGCCGCGGUAAUACGGAGGAUCCGAGCGUUAUCCGGAUUUAUUGGGUUUAAAGGGAGCGUAGAUGGAUAUUUAAGUCAGUUGUGAAAGUUUGCGGCUCAACCGUAAAAUUGCAGUUGAUACUGGAUAUCUUGAGUGCAGUUGAGGCAGGCGGAAUUCGUGGUGUAGCGGUGAAAUGCUUAGAUAUCACGAAGAACUCCGAUUGCGAAGGCAGCCUGCUAAGCUGCAACUGACAUUGAGGCUC